rnacentral:lncRNA from 1 species
UGAGCUACAAGCUAGAUUGGCUGAUAAACGUUUUCAAUUUUCUUGCCACCACCUGAAAUACGAUAUUAAUAACCAAUUUAUCCUCUAUCUAAUCAAGAAACCUUAAUAUCUAAUGAUAGAACUUAAAAUUAAAUUUUCUGGACACUUGAAUAAGUUCUCAAAUUUUCCUUUAUUAAUUGGAGCUAAUCACACUUUAUAAUCCAUUGCUAAUAACUAAUUUAUCAACAUAACCUUCACUUCCAAACAUCACUAUGACAUCCACAUCAUUCAAGUGACAAGAAGUUGCUAUAAUUCAACUAAUUAAAAUUUUCCUUUUGUUCUAUAAUUUCAUGCCUCGAAAUAAUUAUUUUCUCAACAUCAUCAUUUCCAUAAAUAUACUUAAUCCCAAAUAAAAUUUCUAGGGUUUGCUAAAAUAAUAUCCCUUACCUAGCUGAAAUUGGAAAUGAAGAAAUCCCCAAACUUGAGCUCCAAUUCGUACAAAUAUCACCUAAAAUUCGACAUUUUAUUCUACAAGUUAAAACCCUAAAAAUUUAAUAUAAAUCAUACUUAAUCACUUUAAAACAAGUAGAAAAAUUAAACCCAACUUGAAGAGAUUAACCUCGCCUCUUUUCUUCUUCUUUUUCCUUUCUUCUUUUCCUUUUCUUUUUUCUUUUUCCUUUCUUCUUUCCCUUCUGCCGGUCUCUGCUUCUCGUUACUGUGUGUGUGUG